rnacentral:tRNA from 1 species
GGAGCUGGAGCUCAGUGAUAGAGUGCUUGCCCAGCAUGUGCAAGGCCCUGGGUUCAAAUCCCAGCACCCCCA